CACAAUGGGCGCAAGCCUGAUGCAGCCAUGCCGCGUGUAUGAAGAAGGCCUUCGGGUUGUAAAGUACUUUCAGCAGUGAGGAAGGCGGAGUCGUUAAUAGCGGCCUCGUUUUGACGUUAGCUGCAGAAGAAGCACCGGCUAACUCCGUGCCAGCAGCCGCGGGUAAUACGGAGGGUGCGAGCGUUAAUCGGAAUUACUGGGCGUAAAGCGCAUGCAGGUGGUUUGUUAAGUCAGAUGUGAAAAGCCCGGGGCUCAACCUCGGAAUUGCAUUUGAAACUGGCAGACUAGAGUACUGUAGAGGGGGUAGAAUUUCAGGUGUAGCGGUGAAAUGCGUAGAGAUCUGAAGGAAUACCGGUGGCGAAGGCGGCCCCCUGGACAGAUACUGACACUCAGAUGCGAAAGCGUGGGGAGCAAACAGGAUUAGAUACCCUGGUAG
rnacentral:rRNA from 1 species